GGACGCUGGAUCUGGUUAUCACAUGCAAGUCUUGACAUCGCCGAUGGCAAGUCUUUACCGGCUAGCUUUCGGUACAGCGGCGGACGGGAAAGUAACACGUGAGUAGCUGUCCUUAAGGAGGGGGAUAACGCCUGGAAACGGGUGCUAAUACCCCAUUAUGCCUCGCAAGAGGUUUAAGUGUGCCCCCUUACAGCCUUAGGGUGCGCUCGCGGCCUAUCAGCUAGUAAAGUGAGGUAACGGCUCACCAAGGCUAAGACGGGUAGCCGGCCUGAGAGGGUGUACGGCCACACUGGGGAUUGAGAUACGGUCCAGACUCCUACGGGGAGGCAGCAGUGGGGAAUCUUGGGCAAUGGGCGAAAGCUGACCCAGCGACGCCGCGUUGGGGAUGUCGCCCCUCCUGGCUUAAACCCAUGUUGUAGGGGACGAGUAAAGUGACCGGUACCUACAAGAAAGCCCCGUCAACUACGUGCCACCAGCCGCGGGUAAUUUUUGGUU
rnacentral:rRNA from 2 species